rnacentral:lncRNA from 1 species
GGGCAAAGAAAAUCAUUGUAUCUAUUUUGGAUAAUGUGCAUGGCAUGUUGUUCAUAUCAUCAGCAGUAAGGAAUAAUUAUGGAAUAAAUGAGACAGCAAGUUUCAAAAUAGCAGUAGGACAUCAGUAAGGAAUAAAUGAGACUUCGGGUCAAGCUACUGAUAUUAAGGUGAUUUUUUCUUUUCAUAUACUGCUAUGUUGCUGUCAGUACCAGGUGUUCUUGCAUUUCUAGUUUCUGUUGGCUUGCUGUUCAGGUGUUCUUAUGUUUAUUUGGUGGGAUUUCAAGCCACUUAUGUUACAUUUUGUCCAAAACUCAUGAAGACUGAAGGUAUGCCUGUAAAAUCUUCAGUGUUAGGGACCAAUGGAUCAUCUGGCAUAAUUUUGGAAAACAACGGAUUGUCAGUGUUUUGCUGCUGAUCAUGUUUGAAGUUUUGCCAUCCAGGUAUACUUGCAGCUGAUAGGUUUGCAGUUUUUCAAUUCAGUCUACAUUCUAAUAAUACAAGGUAUUCUUGCAUCUGUCAUAACUGUUGUUGUUUAAUGGCAUAUAGGAUCUUCAGAAGAAUAUCAGUGCAUGUGUGGAGCCAGUUUAGAGCAUAGGCAGCAGUAGCACUCUCAAGGUAAUGCAUUGCAGGUCAUGUAUAAUUUUGAAACUGUAAAAUUCCACUAUGGCACUAAGGUGCAUGAUCGUAGCCUAUAUUUAUAAAUAACACUAGUUUAUUACGUGUUCCAUCUUGGUAUAACAUUAAUAUGUAAAUUACCUUUAUUAACAGUGAAUCAGGAUGUCGAUUAAUGCCGGGAAUUUACUUGGUGCCCCCAACUAUUUACAUGCGAAACCUGCCUAUCUACUGAUGGGACU